rnacentral:rRNA from 1 species
CCUACGGGGUGCAGCAGUGGGGAAUAUUGCACAAUGGGCGCAAGCCUGAUGCAGCCAUGCCGCGUGUAUGAAGAAGGCCUUAGGGUUGUAAAGUACUUUCAGUUGGGAGGAAGGCGUUGAUGCUAAUAUCAUCAACGAUUGACGUUACCAACAGAAGAAGCACCGGCUAACUCCGUGCCAGCAGCCGCGGUAAUACGGAGGGUGCAAGCGUUAAUCGGAAUUACUGGGCGUAAAGCGCACGCAGGCGGUGUGUCAAGUCGGAUGUGAAAUCCCCGGGCUCAACCUGGGAACUGCAUUCGAAACUGGCAGGCUAGAGUCGUGUAGAGGGGGGGUAGAAUUCCAUGUGUAGCGGUGAAAUGCGUAGAGAUGUGGGGGAAUACCGGUGGCGAAGGCGGCCCCCUGGACAAAGACUGACGCUCAGGUGCGAAAGCGUGGGGAGCAAACAGGAUUAGAUACCCCAGUAGUC